UACAGAGGUGGCAAGCGUUGUUCGGAAUUACUGGGCGUAAAGGGCGCGUAGGCGGCCUACUAAGUCAGACGUGAAAUCCCCCGGCUUAACCUGGGAACUGCGUCUGAUACUGGAAGGCUUGAGGAUGGGAGAGGGAUGUAGAAUUCCAGGUGUAGCGGUGAAAUGCGUAGAUAUCGGAAGGAACAUCAGUGGCGAAAGCGGCUCACUGGGUCUUUCCUAACGCUGAGGCACGAAAGCUAGGGGAGCAAACAGG
rnacentral:rRNA from 1 species